UACGAAGGGGGCUAGCGUUGCUCGGAAUCACUGGGCGUAAAGGGUGCGUAGGCGGGUCUUUUAAGUCAGGGGUGAAAUCCUGGAGCUCAACUCCAGAACUGCCUUUGAUACUGAAGAUCUUGAGUUCGGGGAGAGGUGAGUGGAACUGCGAGUGUAGAGGUGAAAUUCGUAGAUAUUCGCAAGAACACCAGUGGCGAAGGCGGCUCACUGGCCCGAUACUGACGCUGAGGCACGGAAAAGCGUGGGGAGCAAACAGGG
rnacentral:rRNA from 1 species